rnacentral:rRNA from 1 species
GGUCAAGUGAAGAAGCGCAUACGGUGGAUGCCUUGGCAGUCAGAGGCGAUGAAAGACGUGGUAGCCUGCGAAAAGCUUCGGGGAGUCGGCAAACAGACUUUGAUCCGGAGAUCUCUGAAUGGGGGAACCCACCUAGGAUAACCUAGGUAUCUUGUACUGAAUCCAUAGGUGCAAGAGGCGAACCAGGGGAACUGAAACAUCUAAGUACCCUGAGGAAAAGAAAUCAACCGAGAUUCCCUUAGUAGUGGCGAGCGAACGGGGAUUAGCCCUUAAGCUUCAUUGAUUUUAGCGGAACGCUCUGGAAAGUGCGGCCAUAGUGGGUGAUAGCCCCGUACGCGAAAGGAUCUUUGAAGUGAAAUCGAGUAGGACGGAGCACGAGAAACUUUGUCU